rnacentral:rRNA from 1 species
UCCUGGAAUGGAGCGUCAUAGAGGGUGAGAAUCCCGUCUCUGGCACGGACCCCCGGUGCUYCUGUGAUGCGCUCUCAAAGAGUCGAGUUGUUUGGGAAUGCAGCUCAAAAUGGGUGGUGAACUCCAUCUAAAGCUAAAUAUUGGCGAGAGACCGAUAGCGAACAAGUACCGUGAGGKAAAGAUGAAAAGCACUUUGGAAAGAGAGUGAAACAGUACGUGAAAUUGUUGAAAGGGAAACGCUUCAAGUCAGUCGCGUCGACCGAGACUCAGCCUUGCCUUGGCUUGGCGUACUUCUCGGCUGACGGGCCAGCAUCAAUUUCGUCCCUCGGAUAAUGGCAAGGGAAAGGUGGCACCCUCACCGGUGUGUUAUAGUCUCCUGUCGCAUGCGAGGGGUGGGAUUGAGGACCUCAGCACGCMCCUCUCGGUGUCGGGGCUUCGGCCCACGCUUACGUGCUUAGGAUGUUGGCGUAAUGGCUUUAAACGACCCGUCUUGAAACACGGACCAAGGAGUCUAACAUGCCCGCGAGUGUUCGGGUGGAAAACCCGUGCGCGAAAUGAAAGUGAAAGUUGGGACCUCUGUCGUGGAGGGCACCGACGCCCGGACCAGACCUUCUGUGACGGAUCUGCGGUAGAGCGUGCAUGUUGGGACCCGAAAGAUGGUGAACUAUGCCUGAAUAGGGUGAAGCCAGAGGAAA